rnacentral:rRNA from 1 species
UGGGGAAUUUUGCACAAUGGGGGAAACCCUGAUGCAGCGACGCCGCGUGCUUUAGAAGGCCUUCGGGUUGUAAAAAUCUUUUCUAUGGGAAGAAAAUGACAGUACCAUAGGAAUAAGGACCGGCUAAUUACGUGCCAGCAGCCGCGGUAAUACGUAAGGUCCGAGCGUUGUCCGGAAUCAUUGGGCGUAAAGGGUACGUAGGCGGGUAAGCAAGUUAGAAGUGAAAUCCUAUAGCUCAACUAUAGUAAGCUUUUAAAACUGCUCAUCUUGAGGUAUGGAAGGGAAAGUGGAAUUCCUAGUGUAGCGGUGAAAUGCGCAGAUAUUAGGAGGAAUACCGGUGGCGAAGGCGACUUUCUGGCCAUAACCUGACGCUGAGGUACGAAAGCGUGGGUAGCAAACAGG